AUUUACCCCUAGGUUGGUGUUAGAGCAUUUACUAGAUUUGGUCCUAUUCUUGGGAAACAAACAAGAGAAGAGAAUCUUGAUUUUGACGAGGAUAGAAGAAAAGUAUUCAUUCUUCACACAGAAAAUGGGGACAGGCGAAUGAUAUUGGCAGGAGAGGGUAGUAAAAGUAACUGGAUGAAUAAGGU